ACACGUAGGGGGCGAGCGUUGUUCGGAAUCAUUGGGCGUAAAGGGCGUGCAGGCGGUCCUGCAAGUCCGGCGUGAAAGACCCCGGCCCGACCGGGGGGACGCGCUGGAAACUGCAGGGCUUGAGUACAGGAGGGGAUGCCGGAAUUCCAGGUGUAGGGGGGAAAUCUGUAGAUAUCUGGAAGAACACCAAUGGCGAAGGCAGGCAUCUGGCCAUGUACUGACGCUGAGACGCAAAGGUGCGGGGAGCAAACAGGUUUAGAUACCCUGGUAGUCCGCACAGUAAACGAUGUGCACCAGGUGGCGGGGGGUCGACCCCCGGUACCGUAGCUAACGCAUUAAGUGCACCGCCUGGGGAGUAUGCUCGCAAGGGUGAAACUCAAAGGAAUUGACGGGG
rnacentral:rRNA from 1 species